rnacentral:lncRNA from 1 species
GUUUAACAUGCCAUUGAGGAGACAGCCUGCAUGUGAAGUCCCUCAAACAUAAACACACUUAAAGAGCAGAUUCAUCACAGUGUUUCCAAAUGUGGAAACUGCAUUCCAUCUGCACCCUUAUCCAAUGGUCAUUAGCUUAGAUGUUGAAUGGACAUUCCUUAAAGUGGAGAUUAUAAAAACAUACAUGCUGCUCAAGAGUGAUUCAUCAGCUUCCAAACUCUCUCUGAUCGAGAGCUCCAAGUGACUCAGGCUUGGGACUUUCAGACUGCUGCGCAGGAAUUUGCAACUUUGAGUCUGCAGAACUGUCUUCGGAUGAUUUCCUUCAUGACUAAGAAGUCCUGUGAUCAUUUGACUCAGGCAUUUUUCUGCAUUUAUUGUCCUUUUAAACUUUGUUGUAUAUUAACUUAUAAGCUAUGCAAAAUUACAAAAGUUAUUUAACCAUGGUGCUGAUUUUCCACUCUGGUUUACAGCUUUCUAACAUCAGUGACUUCUGGGCUGUCACCCCUGAGAGAAGAAUCAGAGCCCAAGAGAGUGUACUUGUCAGUAGUUUAUGGAUGACAAUAGUCACAUACACACUGCUUCACGAUAAGAAUCAGCAUCCCAGUCCUUUUUUGCUCUGCAUCCCUUUCAAACAUCCAUAAAUGGACAAUACAAGGGUUAUCAGAGUAAAACUUCAUCCACAAUUAUCUCGUGAUGCUGAACUGAGAAGUUACUAUCUGUGAACUUAAACACCUCACUGCUUAGGUGGGAUUUCCCAUUUGCUGUUGCUGCUAACAUCUCUUCAUAAAACACAUUAACCCUUUUUCACUCCAAAACUGCAUGUUUCUUCCCUUACAAAGUUGAUGGACAAGAUCUUCCACGGAUACAAAAUUUUGUAGCUCCACUGAGACCAGCAGGAUGAUACUGAUUUACACCAGAUAUGGACCUGGUUCAUGAAUUAACAAAGCCAAUUACAAAAGUAACAUGCAGCAAGGAAGUGACUUCUGUUAAAAACAUUUUGGAAUGGAAAACCAAAAAUGAUGGAUGCACCACUGGGGUGGAGGGAGCAGAGCCUGCCUCAAAGAGGACCUCAUAGAGCUGCUAACCUCCCCAAAAAACGUGCUGCUGCUCUUGGAGAAGAGGGGGAAAGUUUCCCCAGGACACACACAGCCACACCAAGCACCCUAGUAACUACUUUCUAGAUAUUUUUAUGCACUGUCACAUCAAAACCAGACUGAACAUCCAAAACAUUUGGAUUCAACCCAUCAUUGAUUAAUGGAAGGAGGAGAAGGAGAACGGGUGGGAAGAAGUCAUUGUGAACUACCAUAACACUGGGCAGUAAGCCCUGCUAUUCAAUAAAUGAAACAAUACAUUAAAAAAUAAAACUUUG